UACGUAGGGUGCGAGCGUUAAUCGGAAUUACUGGGCGUAAAGCGUGCGCAGGCGGUUUCGUAAGUCUGUCGUGAAAUCCCCGGGCUUAACCUGGGAAUGGCGAUGGAGACUGCGAGGCUAGAGUUUGGCAGAGGGGGGUAGAAUUCCACGUGUAGCAGUGAAAUGCGUAGAGAUGUGGAGGAACACCGAUGGCGAAGGCAGCCCCCUGGGUCAAAACUGACGCUCAUGCACGAAAGCGUGGGGAGCAAACAGG
rnacentral:rRNA from 1 species